GGGCGGUUAGCUCAGCUGGUAGAGCGCUUCGUUUACACCGAAGAUGUCGGCGGUUCGAGCCCGUCACCGCCCACCA
rnacentral:tRNA from 1 species